AAGGAUCAUUAAAAGAUCGGGCCUCCGAGCCCCCUUUUUACCCACACCCUGUGAACCGUCCACGUUGCUUCGGCGGGCCGGCGCUCCAGAAGCGCCCGGCUGCACCCCCUCACCGGGGGGCGGCUGGAGAGCCCGUCAGGAGACCCUUUAAACCCUUGUUUUGGUGCCUGUCUGAAGCUACACAAUUUUUUAAAACUUUCAACAACGGAUCUCUUGGUUCUC
rnacentral:misc_RNA from 1 species